UGCUGGAACGUUAAGGGACCGGUUAGCUCCAUUUCGGUGGGCGAAGCUGAGAACUUAAGCGCCAGUAAACGGCGGUGGUAACUAUAACCAUCCUAAGGUAGCGAAAUUCCUUGUCGGGUAAGUUCCGACCUGCACGAAUGGCGUAACGACUUCUCGACUGUCUCAACCAUAGGCCCGGCGAAAUUGCACUACGAGUAAAGAUGCUCGUUUCGCGCAGCAGGACGGAAAGACCCCG
rfam:Streptomyces afghaniensis 772 genomic scaffold STAFG_scaffold874, whole genome shotgun sequence.